GUGCUGUGAGAGCCCAACGAUGUUCAGGCCAAACCAGCUAUUACACCAUGAGCGUAAAGUAUUUGGACAGUAAAGCGUUUUGAAAUACCUCCUGCUAGGACAUUUGGAAGAAGUUAAUGUGAAGAAAAAAAUAUUAUGAGUUAAUCAAGCGAUUUCUCCAGAAGAGGUAAUUGUGUCUGCCUCGUGGAAUGGGGCAGAAGAAAAUCGAACUACGCUGAAGGCCAGUUGUGUGUCCAUGAAGAGAAACUGAGCAAUGGAAACACCAGGAGACGCUCCAGAGGGACAGAGACACGUCCGUCAGGAGAGACCUCCAUCACCUGUGCCCACUUGUGUGUCCAUGAAGAGUGACCGGUCGAAAGAGGACCUCAUCAACUUCCAAAAUGAAGAUGGUACAAAUGCAUCAAGGCAAGUCCCUGAAACAGACUCAUGUAAAGGGUAUGCUAGGAAGGGUAUGUUAGGAAGCCAACAAAUAGUGAA
ensembl:lncRNA